GAGUUUGAUCUUGGCUCAGGAUGAACGCUGGCGGCGUGCCUAAUACAUGCAAGUCGAGCGAACGGACGAGAAGCUUGCUUCUCUGAUGUUAGCGGCGGACGGGUGAGUAACACGUGGAUAACCUACCUAUAAGACUGGGAUAACUUCGGGAAACCGGAGCUAAUACCGGAUAAUAUUUUGAACCGCAUGGUUCAAAAGUAAAAGACGGUCUUGCUGUCACUUAUAGAUGGAUCCGCGCUGCAUUAGCUAGUUGGUAAGGUAACGGCUUACCAAGGCAACGAUGCAUAGCCGACCUGAGAGGGUGAUCGGCCACACUGGAACUGAGACACGGUCCAGACUCCUACGGGAGGCAGCAGUAGGGAAUCUUCCGCAAUGGGCGAAAGCCUGACGGAGCAACGCCGCGUGAGUGAUGAAGGUCUUCGGAUCGUAAAACUCUGUUAUUAGGGAAGAACAUAUGUGUAAGUAACUGUGCACAUCUUGACGGUACCUAAUCAGAAAGCCACGGCUAACUACGUG
rnacentral:rRNA from 1 species